rnacentral:lncRNA from 1 species
CGAUGCGGUUGUUAGUCUAUGAAUCAGGUAAUUAUCAGAUCUGACCAAAUAGCCAUCCUACCUCCUCUACGUUCUUGACGACCCAUCUUUGUCUCAGUAGAGUUUUUAUGUGGUAUGUUUUGGUUCUAUUCCCCAUUACUUAGAAGAAAAAAGUGAGCCCUCGGUUCGGGUACAAGAGACUAUCAUUACCACCUAGACACAUCCAACCCGUAAUCUUUGUUAAUCUAUCUCGACCAAUUCAUCGAG